rnacentral:lncRNA from 1 species
UUCAGCAUAAUGCAUAAAGCUAUAGAAGGUUAUUAGUGCUCCUCUCAGCUGUUGACAUGUAUGCAUGCAGAACUCAUGUUACUGUCUUUUAAGUUUUGUAGUCUCUACGACCCUUGCGUGAUUAGGGAACAUAAACAAAUGGAUAACUAACGUACAAAUCCGCCAUCCUAUUAAACUUUAAGCUCCCAGCGCUCCCAUCUUUUAACUCCCUUGGUCUGUUCUAUUGCAUAAGCACAGAUUCCAGUGGAACAAUUUGUACCGGUAUAUAUUGUGACAACAAAAGUCUUUGUAUAAGCAUUAGUACAUCAUAAAUCUUAAUCAUAUUAUAUUGUUUAGCUUAUCUUAUCACAAAGUAGUCUUUAGCAAUGUUAACCCCGUACAUUCAAUUGACUGAUGUUAAGUUAGGUCAUCUCAUUUCAGACUUUAGGGGUGGAAAAAAAUGAAAUACUCCCUCCAUUUCAAUAUAUAAGUGAUAAGAUCACUUGGCUUUGUAAAUUGAAACGGAGGUGGUACAUUGUAAUUGGAUCUUUUAAAUUAGAGAUGCUAGUAUGCGUAGACACUAUACAGUCACGUAAUUGUUUUUGUGCGAGUAUAUUUAUAUCUUGAUGAUUGAUGAGGCCUGCUUGAGAAGUAGAAUAAUGAAGGGUACUAUAUUGAUACUCUUAAUUAUCAGUAUACUGAUAAUGUUUCUAUUGAGAUCCUUCUCUUUUUUGUGCGUAUAUAACAGAAACUUUUUAUUUCUAAAAUUUGCUGAUAGAUACUACCUUCAUUUGAAACUUCGCUCAUGGUUUGCAUUGUUAUGUAUGCACUAAAGUUGUUUAAUGUUGACACCGCAACUAAUUUAUGGUAAACUGGUGAAUUGGUAGAUAAGGGGAAUGAGUUUCGUGUUUGAAAUCAACCACAAAUAAGUGAGGUGGCGUUACUUGGACACCAUUACCAAGAAGAGCCAACGUAAGAAAAGCAAUUUUGAAUGGUCACCUGGACGAGAACCAUGAUGGAAGCUGUUGAAAGGUGCCUUCUGGUUUUUAGUUUGUCCAAGUAAUUAAGCAAUGUGUUGUACGAGUCUAUAUUAUUGAUAGCAUCUAUGUCUCACCCAGCAAUAGAUCUGUGGAUAAUACAUGUUACAUGUAGAUAAUCGUUUUAUAUUCAAGCCUGGGCAGCAGCAUGAUUCUCUCUUUCUCGGCAUCUGUCUUGCUCAUCUGUUUUCAGAAAAAAAUUGGCAUAUAUGAUAGAGAGUUUGGCUUUAAUGAUUCAUUGCCAGUAGGUGGAGUACGUCCUGGCUUUUCUUCUUGGCUGCAAUUGAUGUAUGGAUAAGAGUCCUUCUGAAUCUACACUGAUGGUUUAUGGAGUGUGAGCCCAUUAGAAAGCAGAACCAUUUUCAGUUCAUGCAACUUAUAGAAACUGACACUCCCAAAUCCGGGUAUUUAAAUUUGACGGGAUUUGGUGUUCAUUGUACAAAUAUCAUCUAUCUAUCUAUAAUAAAUGCAAACCAUGCAAUAGAUAGAAAUAAAUCCUCCUCUUAUGGGGUUACAUCUGAAUAAUAAAUACAAUUUCAUGUCAAACUAACCUUAAACAUCUGUGCAGAAACAUAAACAAAUAAUAAGUUUUAAACAACAUCAAGUCUUGACAAUAACAUUCUAAAAUUUAAAUAACAAG